AUGGGUAUCGCCAAACUCUUUUUUGGUCGUAGAACAUGUCAAGCUAAUGAGAUGAAGAAAGCAUCUAUUUGGGCCCAGUCUUGGGUGUCACAAGAUCAUAUAUUGAGAGACAGUAGGGUAUAUGAUAUGGAUCUUGAUUUCGAUAGAGCUUUGGAUGGUCUUAGUGUUAUGAUUCUUGAUUUUGACCUUAGUGGUAUUACUAGAAAGGACAUCGCCCCUCCUAAAGCAGAACAUGUUUUGGCGAGUUCCCUUUUUAGUAAAAGUGUUUAG